CAUGCAAGUCGAACGGUAGAGAAGUGCUUGCACUUCUUGAGAGUGGCGAACGGGUGAGUAACACGUAGGUGAUCUACCGCAGGGGUUGGGGAUAGCCCAUGGAAACGUGGGGUAAUACCGAAUACGCUCAUUUGGCUGUGGCCGGAUGAGGAAAGGCGCUUCGGCGUCGCCCUGCGAUGAGCCUGCGCCCCAUUAGCUAGUUGGUAGGGUAAAGGCCUACCAAGGCGACGAUGGGUAGCCGGCCUGAGAGGGUGAUCGGCCACACUGGGACUGAGAUACGGCCCAGACUCCUACGGGAGGCAGCAGCUAAGAAUCUUCCGCAAUGGACGAAAGUCUGACGGAGCGACGCCGCGUGGGUGAAGAAGGCCGGAAGGUUGUAAAGCCCUUUUCUCGUUGAGGAAUAAGCACAGGAGGGAAUGCCUGUGCGAUGACGGUAGGCGAGGAAUAAGUCCCGGCCAAUUACGUGCCAGCAGCCGCGGUAACACGUAUGGGACGAGCGUUGUUCGGAAUCAUUGGGCGUAAAGGGCGCGUAGGCGGCGAGGUAAGCCUGGUGUGAAAGACCGCAGCUUAACUGCGGAACCGCGCUAGGAACUGCUUUGCUUGAGUUCAGGAGGGGGAGCUGGAAUUCCAGGUGUAGGGGUGAAAUCUGUAGAUAUCUGGAAGAACACCGGCGGCGAAGGCGAGCUCCUGGCCAUGAACUGACGCUGAGGCGCGAAAGCGUGGGGAGCGAACAGGAUUAGAGACCCUGUUAGUCCUCGCUUGUAUACGAUGUGCAUUAGCUGUUGGGCCAUGAAGGUUCAGUUCCGUAGUCUACGCGUUAAGUGCACCGCUUGGGUAGUAUGCUCGCAUAGGGUGAUACUCUAUAGUGAAUUGACGGGGGCCCGCACAAUCGUUGGAGCAUGUGGUUUAAUUCGAUGAUACGCGUAGGAACCUUACCAGGGUUUGACAUAUGCCGGAAUGUGCAGGAGACUGCGCAGCCCUUCGGGGCCGGUAUACAGGUGCUGCAUGGCCGUCGUCAGCUCGUGCCGUUAGGUGUUGGGUUAAGUCCCGCAACGAGCGCAACCCCUACCGUCUGUUGCCAGCAUUCAGUUGGGGUACUCUAGGCGGAACUGCCGGUGUACUAACCGGAGGUAGUUGGGGACGACGUCAGGUCAUCAUGGCCCUUAUAUCCUGGGCUACACUACGUGCUACAAUGGCCGGUACAGAGCGAAGCAACACCGCGAGGUAGAGCAAAUCGCAGAAAGCCGGUCUCAGUUCGGAUUGGAGUCUGAAACCCGACUCCAUGAAGUUGGAAUCGCUAGUAAUCGCGCAUCAGCAUGGCGCGGUGAAUACGUUCCCGGGCCUUGUACACACCGCCCGUCACACCACCCGAGUUGGGGGUACCCGAAGUCGUUUGCCUAACCUGCAAAGGAGGGCGGCGCCGAAG
rnacentral:rRNA from 1 species